rnacentral:rRNA from 1 species
UGGGGAAUUUUGGACAAUGGGCGAAAGCCUGAUCCAGCAAUGCCGCGUGUGUGAAGAAGGCCUUCGGGUUGUAAAGCACUUUUGUCCGGAAAGAAAUUCCUUGGCUCUAAUACAGUCGGGGGAUGACGGUACCGGAAGAAUAAGCACCGGCUAACUACGUGCCAGCAGCCGCGGUAAUACGUAGGGUGCAAGCGUUAAUCGGAAUUACUGGGCGUAAAGCGUGCGCAGGCGGUUUGCUAAGACCGAUGUGAAAUCCCCGGGCUCAACCUGGGAACUGCAUUGGUGACUGGCAGGCUAGAGUAUGGCAGAGGGGGGUAGAAUUCCCACGUGUAGCAGUGAAAUGGCGUAGAGAUGUGGAGGAAUACCGAUGGCGAAGGCAGCCCCCUGGGCCAAUACUGACGCUCAUGCACGAAAGCGUGGGGAGCAAACAGGAUUAGAUACCCUGGUAGUCCACGCCCUAAACGAUGUCAACUAGUUGUUGGGGAUUCAUUUCCUUAGUAACGUAGCUAACGCGUGAAGUUGGACCGCCUGGGG